rnacentral:misc_RNA from 1 species
UCGAGGACUUGCGGAGAGAGCU